rnacentral:snoRNA from 1 species
UGAGAUGAUGAAUAAACCCGUUGCUGAAAAAUGAUGAGAGGAUCGACUAGCUGACU